CGAUGUUUUUUAAUGAUUUAUCACGUCAACAAAGUUAUUCACGUGUGUUUUUAAUUGCACAAUUGUAAUUGGUUUUUUUUUAUAACACUGACGAAGUUUUGUUCACGUUUGUCACGGAAACAUAAUAACAUUCAGACAGUUCCUUCAAAAGUUACAAAUUCUCCCCCAAAAGCUCCAUCCUCAGGAUGGUGGCACUAAUGUCUUGCUGUCAUGCUGUGUCACAGAGAAGCCAGUCAAAUUUGAUGGGAAGAUGGGGGCUCCGUAUGAAAACAGAUGAAAACCUGUUGAAGAAUGCAAAGACUUCGGACCGGAGUGGAGAGUCACCUUCCAGCACCGGCAACGAAAACAUCAGAGUCGGAGUAACAACGGGAGCAACAAAGAAAAAUGGACAAAAAAAGCAGCUGGUAGUGAGCAACCGUGAGGGACUGCAGCAAAAUGCAGUUCACAGAAGACUACUUUCCAUGAAAUCUUAGGGACCAUCAUCAUUUUUUGUUCAGUUCACCGUGGCAAACUUCCAUGGAUGUGAUUUUUACCCUGUUUCUUUCUUAUUGCUGAAUUAUAAACACUAAGGUGAGUGUUUUAAAUGGACUAUAAUUUUGGAAGGCCAGAUGCUGUAACCCUUUCCAGACUGAAAGAUGUCAAUGAAUCUAUUUUUUUUCUUUCUUUCUUGUUUAGAUUGGACCACGAUGUGUUGCUUUUCAAGUUGUUUCACCCUACUUUGUGUUGUGAAACAAGUUCUAUAAAGUGAUUUUGUGAUUCUACUCAACAGACGUGGCUGAUCAGGCUCGGGUGUCGCCAGUGAAAUUGAAAUUGAAGAAUUAGGUUAAACACAGUUAGUUCAACAAGGUUAAAUAGACUGUCACCGAACGACCAGGCGCAGGAUCGAACCGUGAAAGCGUCGCCAGGUUCCUACAGAAAUCAGAGGUGCCACACACCCUGACACAACACACACAAAUAAACAUUUCAGACGGUUGAAUAAAUAAAACUAAGAACGACAAAAAAAACCAACCCCAGCUUUGAUUAAAAAUUGAACUGUCUCAUUAUUUGCUCAGCCAUUUUAGAAUCUAUUUUAUGCAUUUAAAUAACUUCUCUUGUCUUGUUUCCAUGCCUUUUAUAUUCACUGUUCUGUCUUUUUAUAGUAAUAGUAAUACCACUUAAUCUGUUGAUUAUAGAAAAGUUAUAUUAUUUAGAUCAACUACAUGUGAUCUAAAUUUACCAAAUUGUUUACAGUCCAGAACCUGCCCCACGGACCCCACUUUGCACACAACAGGUUUAGGUGGAAGACCAUUCCUGUGUAGAGUUGCACUUGUGCAACGUUUUUUUUUUUUUUCUGAUUU